AUUUUAGUGGCGCCAUGUGAAAACCAGCUAUUAGGAUGUUUAUAUAAUGAACAAAAUAAUACGCCCGCUGCUUGUAGACAUUCAAUUUCCCUUUUCGUGUUCAACGUUAUAUCUUAAUUGUUUACUGCGCUCAUUCGCGAGAUUCCGAGUUGAAUACCCGAAGAGAAAUUCCAUAUCUACGUGUGCCCAUUAUUCUUUAUUUUCUGCAUAAUUUUUUCCCCAUAAUUAGGUUGUGCACCCGCUUCUUUUUCUCCGCGGACAUAGCAAACUGGAGACACUGAACUCGUUUCACAGGCUCUACACUUCGAAAUCUGGAAAUUUUUUCUAAAUUUUAAAGAAACAUAAUUCAAGUAAAGCAAUGUUAUAAAUUUAAUAAUGUUUAAAAAUACUUUAAAUGUUUGAAAACUGGUCCUAACGUUACACGAGGCAUACCUGCAUCAACAAAUAAGAUACAUCAUCACAAAAGCAUUGCAAUAUGUACUAUGAUCUCUCUUGGGAAAGGAAGCUUAGCCCUGUUAAAUACGUUUAAAACCUUGGUCAAAGUUGUGGGCAUAUCUUAAGAUAAUAUGACAAGAGACGACAUGAGCAAGUUUGAGCUAUUGGCGCAGCUCAAUAGCUUAAAAGUCGUUAGCAAGGGCGACCAAAUUAAAAAAAAAGGGCUUUAGACUCCGCUUUGAACCGCAUUCGAGAGUUUUCAUCAGGCGAAAUAAGCUUUUCUUUUUUUGUAAAAAAACUAUGAACUGGUAAAGCGAAGUCAGCAGUUAUAAAUAUCAGUAAAUACCUUUAUGCGUCGACAAAUAGAUCGAAAUCAUGACUACAAAUAACUAUAAAAGACUUGAACCCCAAGGGCGCCUGACAAGUUUCCUACAAAAAAUACAAAUUUACAACUUAAUUGCAUUUAGCCAUUAAUAUUAUUUUGAAGCGCAAGGGCAAAGGUAGUUUUAAAACUUCAAAAUGAACUUUAAAUUAAUGAAAUUCUAGUGGAUUAUUUCUGAUUUUUUUCUGAUUAUUUCUGAUUUUUUCGUCAACCAACGUUUAAUAUGGAUUAAAUGAACCUUGGGGUGACGUGUCACUUGUGUAUCGUCACGCAACGCUUUUCUCAUGGAGGAGGGUUUGGUGAGUCUUGCUAGCACGGCUACAGAGAUGAAAAACAGGUGACAGUGAGAUGAAAAACAGUACUAACGAAAAUUGCUAUCAUGUUCGUGCCGAUGUGUCUUUUUACAAGUGAAAAACGUAUGAUGUGCAAAAAGUAGCAACUUUCAUCCAAUUGGGUCAUCGCUUGCCAUUCCCAGCCACUUCAUCAACAUCGCUGUAAUGACAGGUUUUAGGC